UAUCCCUAAGAAUACCCCGUACAUUUCCAUUGCAAAAAAAAAAAAAAAAAAAGGUAUUCCAUCAUGUGAGUAUACCACAAUUAACUGAUAUAAACUAUGAAGGUAAAAAUUUGCGUUGCUGCCCCUUAAUGUUGUUGCCUUAAUUUCUUUUUCUCAGGUCCUAAGUCGUCUGCCCCUGAGAAUAAGUGGAUGGGGAGGUGACAAAUCUCCCGUGAGAAAAAUGUACCAAGUGCAUGGUGUUCCAACACAUAAUCACAAAUUCUGAAUGAAAACUUGCCACCCAAAUAUAAAAUAUUUACCAAAACAUCGAAAUUAAUAUCACAAUUAUGUAAGCAUCGUUCCUACGAUGUUUGGUGAAAUCUAUGAGAAUUUGAAAUCAAGCUAUCACUAUCAAUAAACUGAUAUUAGUACUCGCAAGGAGAUCUGCUAUAAAUAGAGAAAAUAAAAUUUUGGUUAUCCUUCUGGUUAUAAAAUACUUACCUGUUUAAUGCAGUGUUACUUCCCUUAGCACUAUUGUUUUGUCUGCUUAUGGUGGCAGGCAACGUACAGAAAGAAAACAUCACAGUUUAUGUGCAUAGUUUAAUAAAUGAUUGUCCAGUGCACCUGCACAGGAACGCUCCCCUAGGUCCCAGAGAAGAACACCGCCAGCAUUCCCCAGAGCCUCCUGGGGUGUCCCUGCCUGAGCUCAG
rnacentral:lncRNA from 1 species